GGACGUUCUGGGUGGAGGAAUAAUGUCAACGAGGGCCGCAUAAGAGAGAACAUGGAGCCUUUUAGGACCUGAAGGAAGCUCAGCCUGUCUUGAUAUAAAAGGGACAGUGGCCAGAGAUGAAGCUGGACACCAGGCAGGUCGGCCUCAGAGCCCUUCGUAAGUCAGCUUUUCCACUGGGCCUGGCCCAGGCCUUGCUCACCCAGUAUGGAUGGCCUGGACGUCAAAGUCUGCACAGGAGAGAAGAAGGAGUCACCUCUGUCCCUUUUCAACCCCAGAACCUGGGGCUGCCUUGGCAUCCCUCACCUGCGCACACCCGGAGGAAGUCUCUCCCACUCCCCACCUCCCUUCUCUGUGUGGCCUUUCGGCCCUCAACCCCUGACGCUCACAUUCCUGGGGCCAGUAGAGGCGGUGGGAUGUGAAACCAAGAUGGAGGUUGGAAGGCCAGAAACCUCACAGCCAUGUCUGACUCCUCUUCAUUGGAAAUCGGUUCCAGAAGGAAGAAGGUUGACAUCCAAAGCCUACGGGCAACCCUGGCCCCCUUUGCUGGUGGGGGUCUCUCGGGAGCUCUGCUGUGGCUGCUGACUUCUGUUUCAAUGACCAGUGGAGAAGAGCGG